UUUAUGGUAUUUAUGGUAGAACCCCUAAAGUUGUUAUUUUUCAAUCGUAAUGAAUCGUUUAAUUUUAACCAUUUUAUGAGUUCAUGACGAAAAUUUCAAUUAUGGUUGAAAUUCAACAAUAGAAUGAUUGUAAAAUCAGUCGCCAUUUUUGCAAUCGCAGAAGUCUUUGUUUCUUUUCUGGUUCCGCGUUGGACUUACAAUUCCGCUGAAUUUCUUUAUGAUAAAAACUACGAGAGUUGUUGUGAAAAAAAUAUGGAUUAUAUGAAGUUGGAAGCAGCAGCAGUUUAUCCACAGACAGCAUUUCGUCGGUCGACUCAGCGGAAUCUUAACAUUCUUUGUUACCAGUUGCCGUUGAAUUUUUGGGAUGCUCCGGAACUCCCCCGUGUUACUGCACCAAGAGGUACAUUUCGGUUCCAAAAAUCUGCGAGGAAAAAACCAGCACUAAAGUAAAUGCAGAACGGGAAGCGAACCAUAUGGUUCCAAUAUUGGAGGCGCAGCGCUUCAUCCGUAAUUGUGACCGCAGGAUAAUCGACGCAAUCAGCUCUUUUACAGUUUCCAACCCGUGAACGGGGACUAGAAACAUCAUGUCUUGAAAUAAAAAAUCAGCUGAAAAUCGGCUUGAAUUCUUUAAUUCUGUUUUCCUGUGCUAUCCAGAUUUUUAGGUAGUUUGGCCAUUUCUAAAUAUAAUAACUGCCACAUAGAAUUAGAUUUGAAAUGAAUCAUAAUAAAAAACAAUUUUUUCCUUUAUUUUCGGGCCAUUUUUACUUUUUUGACCAUGCUUGAAAAAUAACCAUUAUUCAAGUUCUCUGUGGAAUCUCAUUUUAU